rnacentral:lncRNA from 1 species
UGGGCGCGGAGUAGGGUUCCCCCUAAGGAGGUGGCGCCCGGGGACUUGGAGAGACCCGGGAAAGUGCGGAAAGGAGGGGCCCUGCGCUGGCCAAGCUGUUGAAGAGCCUCGCCCAGCCGGCCCCGGGUGCCCACGAUAGCCGAACCCAGGGCGGGGAUCCCGGUUAUCGUCAUCCCUUCGGCUGCUCCGGUACGCGGCCGUUGGUGGCCUGCCAGUUUUACAGAGGGAAUACUUAGACCCUGCUGGGUGGGGACUUGCAGUCUAUAACUGCUUUCUCAGCUCUUAAAAAGUCAGCAAUCCUGGGUUAAAUUCCUCUGUGCAAAAUUAAAUUUUGCCAUACCCCAAUGUAAGUAUUAUUUGCAACCAAUUGAUGGAUACUUUUCUCUCUGUUAGCUCUUCUUAUUUGUGAAUUAUCACUUACUAGUCUAGUACACUAAUUAUUUAAAUAUAAAAACACUCUGAAACGUUUAUCUCCUUACAGAUGGGCGUUGAUUUCCUCCGUUACCAGAGAAAAACAACUUAACUGAGAGAUGGGAAAAACAUAUUCCCUUGUGAUGGGAAAAAUGUAUUCAACCCCUGUACGCUGUGCCAAAUUGGCUUCUUUAAACACUGGAGAAAUCUGCUUCCCCAAAUUUUACUCCCAGAAGAGGAUGCUUGCCCUUCUCAGUUACUUGUCUGAAGUCUAGGAUCUUGUUUUAAUUUCCCAAGGACCCCCAUAAGGUAAGUAUUAUUAUUCUCCUCUAUUAAAUAUAAGUACCUGCUUCAUGAAG